CUCGGGUCGCCGGGUUCGUAGCGCAGCGUAGUGCUAACCGCUGCUACACUACCGUACACACACACACGUGCGUGAUGGCACUUGAGCAUCACCCACGGCUUGGACGUUCGGUAGAAAUAUAAUUAUUAUAAUUGUUUUUGAAGUUUUGGAACAAGUCCACAGACCACCUGCUCCCACCUACACCUUCAUGUUUAUUUAAGCAAAGGAAAAUGUAUUCACCAUUACGUGUUUGUGUUCAUUUAUAUAUUUAUAUUUUACAUAUUCUUUUCUAUGCGUUGCUGUUCAUCAUGAAAUGAUGUGCUCUGGGCUAUCAACAAUUCAUGUAUUCCGUUGGAAUUAUAAACAUUAUAAAAUGUGUGACGCCCUCUUACCCCUACAGCUAAACAAGGUAUCCCAAUCACCCUAUCUUUGGCAUUGUCAUAACAAUGCAGAGCAAUAUAAUAGUGAAUGUUCAUAUCUUUUGAGCAUUGCAAAAUUAACUGCCUUCAGACCUGCACUGACCCUGUGCAUGGGAACUACAAAACACAACGCUACCGGACAGACGACCACGAUCCUGUAUAUUAAAUGUGAUGCUUACAUGGGUCGUUGUUAGAAAGAAAGUAUGAUUGUGUGCGUGUGUUAUUGAUGUAUAUAUGGCAUAAUGGGAUCUUCAUGCAUACUAUAUGGUCCAAUCUGACUAUGUUAUUAUCUGGGCAUUGGCUAUUUGCAGCUAUGCUAAUUUAUUAGUUACUCGAGGCCAUGGGUUAUACAUAGCAAUGGGUGUUUUUCUUUGUCCCCUUCCCAUGACUUUUGAACUAUUACCUUUUUUAUACACAUACUCGAAGAGGAAAUAGUUUUAUAUUCGGACAGUUUAUAAAGUUGACAAGAACGGCCCUGCAACAGAACCCAUCCGUGUGGUAGGUAUAUGAUGAUGAUGAUCAUGAUGAUGAUGCCAAUGAGCAUAUGUAUCAUUUUUUGGGGGAUUGUUAUCGUUUACCACGUUUGUGAGUUGUCACUAAUUCGAGUGACCUUGGAGGAGUUUCCAUGACCCGGACAAUGUGGCAUCAAGGACAAGCAGGGGCAGAUCAAUUCACACAAUUGGCCACUCAAUAAUACACAAUGGGGCUAAAGCUUACGCUGCAUUUACAUAGUCCCCCAGAGAUCUUUCCUGCACAACAUUGCUUCCAUUGCAUUUGGCAAACAUUCACAUAACCAGUGCUUAAUGGUGAUGGCGUUGUUGUGUAAUGCUAGCAACUGUGCAUUUUGUCACUGCAAAUAAAUUCGUCAAACGUAUCAUCAUCAUCAUCUUCGCCAUGAUCAAUCCACUGCUGGAUGAAGGCCUCCCAAAGUUGUCAUCGCUUGCGGUUCUGGAAUGUAACAGUAUAUGUGCGUGUGUGUUAAAGAAUAAAACAAUGGACUACACUUAUAUAUACACACACCGGAACAUGUUUAAUUAAUUGUAUUAUUGCGUGCUAUUGCAAAAAAUAAAUCAUUACAUCACCCAUGAAUUAACAAAACAAACAAGCAUGAACAGUAAACUAAUGCCACAUCAAACCUAAGAACGCUCAAAUUUUAUAAUGCACUUCUGCUCCACUUAUUUAUACAUUAAUUGGCAUUUGAAGCAAACAAAAAUGCACUGGCUGGGAAAAUAACACGCCUUUCUUUUUGUUUGGCCUCUUGGAGUUAUAGUUUCGUGUCUUGCUUUGGCUGCGAGCGAGCUGAUGCAAUGAUCAGCGGGCGGAGGAAUGAGCCGAGUUCAUAUCGCUCCGUGUGUGUCAUCUCACGUGGGUUUGAGUGGCUCCCUACAGAGAACGUUGCUGCCUGCAGAAGAUGCAAAGGAGUGAUCAAAGCGUGGAUUAGCACUAAUCUAAGCCAAAUUAACUUAACGAAUUACAGCAGCCCACCACCUCAAGGGCAAUUGCUACAGCGGCAGUUUUCGGGAACACGUUGCCAUGGAAGACUGUGGGUGGUGCGCAGUAGUCUGCAGAGUUCUUCUCAAAAAAACCCCAUCGGUCAGAUCGGAGUCACACGGAGAGGCAUCCAUAACCCUGCAGCCCGCAAGUGAUGGAAGAAACAAGUUACUGCAAUACUGCCAGGCCAAAGGCAUGACCGGAUGAAUGCAUCGGAGCAUUUGGUUUGUGUAACAUCAAGCCUAGGCCUUUUAAAAUAUAAUUCCUGUAGCUCAUUGCAUUAGUCCCCAUACCAUGCCAGGCGCAUUCACAACUCUUACAUGUAGCAAAUAAUAAAUGUUUUUAAAAUAAUAAGAGGGCCUCAGGAUGUGACUUCAUGCUUCCAUAAUUGUAAGACACUGAAAAGCCCUUUGCAGUAAUGAUGCUUGAACAUUUGCUGGCUGCUACCAUUUAUGCACAUGCAUGAAAUGUAUAGAUAACUUAAACAAAAUAAAAUAUAUCAGUUAAUUAAUUGUAAAUUGAGAUUGUGUCUAACUUGACAUUCCAAAUGGUUAUUUUAAAAAUGUAUUAUCAUUUUUUAAAUAAUAUUUACUAUGUUUCUUUAAUGUUAUUUUUGUAAAAUUUGCAUUUGUGAUGCGAAUUUUAAACAUGUUUGAAAUAUAUUGUUUUAAUGGAUUGAUCUAAUUUGAAUUAAUGUUUAUAUAGUGCACUUAUUUUAGUGAAUGUCUGCUUUGUUGUCAUAUAUAUUGAAUACGCAACAAUGUUCAAUUUGUAUAAUUGAUCACAUAUGUGGUUGGUUAUCACUUAUAUGUAAAAUUGGCACGCGUUUUUAACAUUUUUAUUGAUGAUGUGCAAUGUGUUUUAACUUGAUUUUAAUUAUAAAUGCAAAACGAGUCAAAAUUAUCACCAACCAUAAAUGCAAUAAAGUAUACAAAUUAAACAUUGCUAUGUAUUGAAUAUGUAAAAAAAGCAAACGUCCACUGACAUCAGUGCAUGAUAUCAUACGAAUUCAAAUUAUACCAUAAAAAUGUAAAACUAUACUUUUCAAACACGUUUACACAACACACCGUGUAUCCGUACAUGGUGUGCCGUGUUUUAUAAGGUACAAAAGCCAAAUCCUAAUAAGAUUUACUGAUAAGCGUGGAAACACAUGCGCCAUACUGUUCCGCUCAAAUCCCUGCUGUACAGUUGUGCAUUGCGCCUGCAGCUAAUAAACAGGCUCAGAAGGUGGAUCAAUGCUGUGUGGCUCCAGAUUUUCAGCCUAACGGGGUUGUCGGGGAGUGGAAAGGAAAAAAAAUGACAGCACUAAUAAAACACCACGAAUAGAAUUACCAAUGUGCCUCUGAAAAAUUCAAACAGGCAUUAAUUUUAACAACUGUUUACUAUGGUGUAGUUGGCGUUCCUUGUUAGGUAUUUAGAUUUAAAAGAAGGCGAAUGUGCAACCGUUCAAUUGCUUGCUCAUCGUGCUACUCCUGGCGAUUUAGAUUGUGGGCAAAUGUCUUUGUGAAAAUUAAAGCAUGUAUUAUUUUAACUGCUAGAGCAACUUCAUACUAUGGUGCAAUUAAAAUCACAACUGGAAUCCAAAAUGACAAAUGAGUUUCCACUUAAAAUGAAUGUAUGUUAACUUCUUUCGCACCGUACGUAACGAACUGUUCCAAUCGAAGGCUAGACAACUUUAAGUACUGUAAAGCUUUGUAGAUUAAUUUUUUAGAGGUCAGGGCGCAUCCCUGCAAUUGCUUGGUCACGCCACUGCUGGCGAUAUAUAUAUGUAUUGACUUAUUUAUAUCGUUAGCAGUGUGAAUUAAAAAGACCCUUUCACAAGAAGAUGGCAUGGUUGUAAGUGGUCGCAUUUUUACUUUAAACACGUAACAGAGCAUAAUGUAAAGUAUUUUUGAUAAUAAUUAUUUUUUAAUUGCAAAACGUAUCUUAGUGUUAUUUGUUUAUUUAUUAUAAUUAGAAAUUUAAUGGAAUAUGUAAUAAUUUCGUGUGCGUGAAUUUUAAACAUUAAGGCAUUGCCCGAGCUGCAUUCUGUGAAUUGUCAAAACUAUUUAACGAUUAAUAUUUUUCAAUAACAGCAAUAAUACAAUAUUGCUAUUUGUGUAUGAUUCUUUGCAUAAUGGAAAAUUAAUAUUGACUUUUUAUAACAAUUAUAUUAAAAAUAUAUACUGUUUGACAUAGUUAAACUGUGUACAUGCCCUAAAAUGUAUUACCCCUGAUUCCUUGUUUAAAGAGUGACAGUGAGAUGUACAUGUAAAAUAAACGUAAAAUAAUUCACACCGCA